rnacentral:rRNA from 1 species
GGAAGGAUCAUUACCGAUUCCUAUACCUCAAUCACUGUGCAUUCGGUCGCUGCACGCAUCUCCUUUCGGGGUUGGCCGAUUCGGCCAUUAAAUCGGUCCGUUACUGGUCCGGGCCCCGACUGGAGCUCUGUGUGCGGCGGUUUUUCACCGCUUCGCGCCUCGUGCGCGGAGCAACCCUUUUUUCCAACCUUGCAACCUUGCAGACUGUACUGUCGGGCUUUCUAACGAAAGCUUGUCUUGAUUCUGAAUCAUGGACAACUUUCAACGGUGGAUCUCUUGGCUCGUGGAUCGAUGAAGAACGCAGCAAAACGCGAUAUGUAGUGUGAAUUGCAGAAUUCAGUGAAUCAUCGAAUCUUUGAACGCAAAUGGCGCUUCUGGGCAUUCCCAGGAGCAUGUCUGUCUCAGCGUCGUUUUCACCUCGAGCGCGCUUCGGCGCGGUGGUCUUGAGGCGUCUGAGGAGCCGUGCUCUCUCUUCGGGGAGGCGCGCGAGCUCUCAGUCCCUUGAAAUUCAGUGGCCGGACAGUUGUGUGCUUUUCGGGUCGGUUCGUCCCGAAUUCGCUCGCACGGCUGAUGGCGAGAUUCCUCGUAAUCUCCCUUGUCGUGUCGCAGCGGUCGGGUGGGAGCCUGGCUCCGACGUGGCCUCUGUCCGAAACAAGCCAGCUCUGGAAAACUUCGCUUUUCUUCCUCACGGGGAGAAAACAUCUUCGACCUGAGAUCAGGCAAGACUACCCGCUGAAUUUAAGCAUAUUAAUAAGCGGAGGAAAGRAAAAC